rnacentral:rRNA from 1 species
UGAGGAAUAUUGGUCAAUGGGCGAGAGCCUGAACCAUCCAAGUAGCGUGCAGGAUGACGGCCCUAUGGGUUGUAUAACUGCUUUUAUGCGGGAAUAAAGUGCCGGACGUGUGCCAGUGUAUGUAUCGUACUAGUAUGAAUAAGGACCGGCUAAUUCCGUG